rnacentral:lncRNA from 1 species
CUUUGGGGCCACACGUGUGGCACAUGGACGUUCCCGGGGCUGGGGUCAAAUCGGACCUGCAGCUACUGGCCUACACCACAGCCACAGAAACUCAGGAUCCGAGCCUCGUCUGUGACCUACACUGCAGCUCAAAGCAGCACCAGAUCCUUAACCCACUGAGCGACACCAGGGAUUGAACCCACAUCCUCAUGGAUACUACUCAGGUUUGGAACCCGCUGGGCCACAAGGGGGACUCCUCCAAGAUCUAAGUUCUAAUGGUAUUUCCUCACUCAGGCUCCUCUACCAUCUUCAAAGCCCUAUGUACCAUGCCCAAACAUCAAUCACUGCCCCACUUAACAAAAAACAAGCUGCAGCCAAAAUGGGCUUCCGAGUGGGGCCACCAGUAGAAGUUCACAAAAACAUUCAUAAGCCACCCCCUGUGAGCUGCCUAGACCCAACCCUGCCACACGCCAGGCCAGGCCGGAUACCGUCCUCAGGCCACAUCCAUCAGUGGCUGAGCAGCCAACUGCCUAGGCCUAAACAACGAAAACCCUCCACAGGGUUCCAGGAACCCAGGCAGGAUGCUGAGGCCAGAACUGGCUCUCUCAGGUAGCAGGCUUCACCUCGAAGGGCUCCCAGGUCACCUGGUGAGGGGUGGGCCUGGCUGCCCCCGAGCUCGACUGCUGGCGCCACAAAAGCCUCAAGGCUGAUGGACAGGUUUUCUCUCCCUUGUGGGGAGAAUGAACGUCCUGGAGGCUGAGGGCUGCAGAGGGAACCCCGAUCAGCCAGAGUCGGGAAUCUGGCCACGUGUGUGUUUUGUUUUUGUUUUUUGUCUUUUUGCCUUUUCUAGGGCCGCUCCCGCGGCAUAUGGAGGUUCCCAGGCUAGGGGUCAAAUCGGAGCUAUAGCCGCUGGCCCACACCAGAACCACAGUAACGUGGGAUCCGAGCCGCAUCUGCAACCUACACCACAGCUCACGGCAACGCCGGAUCCUUAACCCAAGCAGCAAAGCCAGGGAUCGAACCCGCAACUUCAUGGUUCCUCGUCGGAUUCGUUAACCACUGCGCCACAACGGGACCUCCCUUUCCCGGCAACGUUUUUAAUGAUGCAGGACAUCAAGACAUCGAGACGUCACACCCGGCCUUUUCCCCUCCCAAGACCUAUUCAAGGGAUCACAGAUGGGUCACUGUCAAGAAGUGAGAACACGCCCGUGGGAACUGGGAACACGGCAGCACCAAACGGCAGGGGGCCCUCCGGGGCCCAGGAUGGAAGAAGCCCGGCCCAGACACCCCACGACACACAGCACCGCGCGAGGAGGGAGGCGAUGCAGUCCUGCAAGUUUCAACUCGGAAACCGGCUGUGUGGUUACAACCCACUCCCUGUGCCCAGCUGACAGGCUCCCGGUACUAGCAGUGCCACCAAGGAAGCCCUCCCGCGUCUUAGAGUCUCACGAGACAACUAUUUCCAAAAAGCUACGUCUCUGUGUCCAGAAAAGAAAGGCCCAGCCAUCAAUCUGAUCUAAAACAGACAAUCGCAGCCCACACUUCCCUUCCCCCGCGAGCCCGAGCAGGGUCGGCCAGAAAUCCUUCUCAAGAGCCCCUCUAAACGGGGCCCCGAGGACAGAGCCUCAGGGGCCGAUUCUGAGCCUCAGUUUUCUCAUCCUGUGAAAUGAGGGCAGCUCACCUCUUCCCCCCACCCCACCGCCCCACGAAGUGGCAGGGGGCAGUCACACAGGCCUGCCACCUCUGGGAUGCAGAAGUCCCUCCAGUGUUCCCAUCUGAUGGAGAAUUUCACCUUGACCUGUAUUCAACUUGGCCGUCGUCUGGUCUAGCACGUCCCUCUGUGCCUAAGUGAAGGGAGAGAGACCACACAGCCGACGUAAAAAAGCUACACAAAUACAUUCAAAGAUAAACGGACCCCAGAAAUCUGGCAGGAAGAAUCCGUUCCUGCCCCUGGGUUUUAUCCUUCACGGAUGUCUGGUGGGGGGCAGCAGCGUGAGCCCCCGUGGGGCGAGAGGAGGCAGACAGAUGAGCUCCUGUUUCUCCCAGUUGAUGGCCAAACAGGGUAAUCCCGACCCUGCCAGCCAGACCCUCAGGGAACAAGAGGACAGAGUGAGAACCACCCCAGGACAUCUCAUCCUUCCUGUCCCCAAACAGGCCGGUGGCACAGCAGGGGGCGCCUGGGGCCCUAGCUCAGCUGGGGGUGGGGGGGGAGAUGGUGGAGACGCCCGGGGGGGCCCUAAGGAGGCCCCACCCACUCCGCCUGCAGGCCUGAUUCUCCUCAGCUUUUGACACAUGGAUUUUCCUUCAGAAGCCUCCACCUGCCAAUGUCGAUAGGGCCCUCCCUGACCAAAAGCCAACUGAUGGAAGGAAACCUUUUGCUGCUGCCUGCGGGCACAGAUGUGCCAACUGGACAGGAAGGGCAGGGCUAGAAGAGGCACCACCAGCAAUCCCACCCACCACCACAGGGUGGGGCAGGGGGCAGCAAGUCCCCCCAGAGGGGUGGGUAUGCGCGUCCAUGCGUGUCCAAGACCCUGGUAGUGGGCCAGGCCCCAGAAGAACCCUUUGGUUCCUGCAGCCUCACCAGGGGGAGGGUCAGUGGGGGCUCCAGGGAGCCCCUGGGAGGCCACAGAGGGCAGUGGACCGAGCCUUCCGGUGUCCUCGGUUAAAAUCCCAGGACUCCUAGAGCCACCAAGUCGGGGAUGACCUGGCGCGCUUCCUGACAAACCCCACCACGAGUGCCCUCCGUGCCAGGCGCUGCUCUGAGCACUCUAUAAGAACGCGGUUAACCCUCUACAGCCCAACAACGUGGGCGCCACGGCCAUUCCUCCUUUAGAGAGAAAACCCAGGCCCGCAAGUGUGCCAGUCACACAGGUUCAGCCAGAGGUGACUGCCCUGGUCAGAGACAGACCAACAGGCCACUAAGAGCAGACACGGGCUCUUCCCCCAGCCCCCGGAGGGCUUUGGCCCUUCCUCUUUGUUGACCCGUUCAGGCACGGGCCUGUGACACGCAUUAUGUCACCUCAAUCCUUGACUCCAAAAAGCCACUGCCUCCCCAUCCUACAGGAAGGCAGCAGCUGGGGGUGGCGGGGGCGCGCAGCAGCCCCGACCUCGGUGAGAGGGCCUAUGCCAUCACUGACCCACGAGGAGUCUGGCAACCCCCAAAAAAGCCACUGCAACGUGCAACUUCUCACACCUCCAGCUGGAGGAACCGGUUCCAGGAAGGGAAGGCUUGGCCAGCGCUCCAGAGACAGAGAAGCCACCCAUCCAAGCACAACCCGCACGGGAAGGCCCCUUUAGGAGAAGGGCUUGCAGCUCACCUGGGGCAACUCUGGGGCCAACAGCAAACUCUGGCCUCCCACGUG